UAGCGGCGCCGCGACGGCUCCACCGGAAACCAGCCGACCGCGGCCAAUCAGAGCUCGGCUGCUGACGUCAAUGCGCCUCGCUCUGGCCAGAGCGGUUGCCUUGGCAACCUUAAAGGGCUCUCACGUCUGCCUCCCUCCACGCCUCUGCCUUUUCUGCCUCCCUUCAACCCCUCCUCCAGCUGACCCACGUGGGACGUUUCGGUGACAGGUGGGCGACUCCGCCCUGGGUCCUGUGGGGCGGGGGAGGGGGAGUUAGGACGCCGGGCAGGCGGGGAGAUUCCUGCUGUUUUCCAGGCCCUGGAAGAGGCGGAGGCCCUAGCGGAUCUGCCACAGCUGAGCGCAAGCGGAUGCUGGGAUGCUCGUGAUGGACAGACUGCGCAUCCUGAGUACGCCCCGCCAUACCCGGGGCUCCGGACUUGGCCUGUCAUCCGGUCCAAGAAAUCUGACCCUUAUCAAGCCUCUGCUUGGCUAAUCUGACUGCUGUCAUCAGUGGAGGCCCUACAGAGGCACAAGACAGGGAAAAAGAGAGACUUGAGUCCUACAAAUGCCCUCCAUAUCAUGCCUGAUUGCGUGGUGCGCAGUACAGACGGGCAGAUCAUGUCAGUGACCACACAAGAAAUCUCAGCUGCAGGAAAAAACGGGAGAAUUUUGGAGAAAAGGCGACUCCGUUAUUCCUUCAGCCAACUUUCCCCCAUAAGUAUCUGAACAUGAAUACAGGGGAGGCAAUUUUAGACACACGCAGUUACAUGAAUAAAGUGGGCCUAAAUAAAUACAUAAAGUAGGCA